CUUGUGUCAUGACCCUACACCCCGCACGUCCAUCUUAGCGAUACUGUGAGUGUGAGGAGCGAGGGAUUGGGCAUCUGGAAUGUAGUCUCACAGUUAGAGGUUGGAGAUAUCACAGGAUAUCACUGGAUAUCACCUAAACGUCUCACCGAGCAUCAUAUCCAAGGGUGCGUUCCGAUUCUCUCACCUGGGUGCUGAAAAUCUAUAGUGCACGUAACAUACUAUAGGAUUUUUAGCACUCGGGUGGGGAAUCCAAACGCAGCUCAAGGUGUGAGAGAGAUACCUGGAGGAGACCAUGCAGCGAUACCUUUCAGAUUAGGAGCGUUAGCGCCUUCAACCCUGUCUUUGUGUUAUAUGAUGUAGUCAAGACAAAGCUACUGGCAGGGUCUCUCUUGGAAAAAAGGAAUGAUACAUACGUGAGUGACACCAAGCACAAUGUAUCAAACCUAGAAGGGGAGAGAAAAAAAAGUCAAAUUAUGAAAAACGAGGGACAAAGACAUAAUGUAAUAUAUGUAUAAUUAUAAUAAUAUACAUUAUUUAUCUAAAAACUGAUCAGCUUUAAAAAGAAAUGGAAAGGAUUAGAAAAGAAACUUUUCAAGAGACGCAAGAAAAAUUGGUGAGAUGGUGAUCGGCGAUCCAAGUUUAUUCGGCAGAUGAUGCAGCAAAAGACAAGGAGCAAGUCGGAUACUGUCACUAUGGCGUCCAACCAGCUCUUCACAUUCUGUACUUCAUCGGUUAUCUCGGCUGCAAUCAAAAUACAAGUUUUAUCAUCGAUAUGGUGAAGUACCAAUCAAUCUAACUCCGUUUCUGAUAUACUUAUUGAAGUAUACCUAUUGAAGAAUUUAAACUUAAUAUGUCUCAUAAUAUUUAUUACUAUAACGUCAUCUAUUUGAUAUGAUUUUUUUAUCUGUUAAUUCUUUAAUUCCGGUAUGCUUCAUGUAAAAACUGAAGCAGAAGUGUUAUAAAUUGGUCACCGUGGUACGGUGUUAGAAUCAGAGCUGCAAACAGUUCAAGAGAGGAGAGAGAGUACUCUAUAUAAGAUACAUAUUUGUGAAUUAGAAAAAGUAAAAAAAAAAUCAGAUUUAUUACACUUCUGUCGCGAUAGUAAAUUUUAAAAAAACUUUAAAAAUUAAAUAUAAGAAAUUAAUAUGCAUGCAGAACACGAUAAUGAAUAUGACAUUCUUUCUUAUUGAAUAAAUUAUCGGCCUAAUAUUAAUUUUUUAGUUACAUUCUGUUUUUACUUUUACCAUUCGCUGAUUAUUAUUAUUCGAUAUUAUAAUGUGAUUUCUAUUGAAUUGAUUAGUGAUAUCAGUUUAAUUUUAUAUAAGUCACAUUAAUUUAUUUUAAUUACAAAUGUUUAUAUCUACAAAUGACGAUUAGGCCGAUGAUGAAAAACCUCGACACAAGAAUGUCCACGUUACAUUAUAUUAACCUUUAGAGGCCGGGGGUGGUCAAAAUAUCGACCAUCCAAAAAACACAAGCUAUUUGAUGUUUUCAGGCAAAAUUUGUGUGUUGAAUAAGGGAAAAAUAGUAAAAAAAAAAAAAAAAGUCUUCAAGUCCUUCUCCCGGCCUCUAAAAGUUAAGUACUGAUCAUAAAUUUAAGCGUAAAGCGUACGCGUAGCGUAACUUACUUUUGACAAAUAAAUGGUUUUAAAAUUUUUUUUAAUAGCGGAAUUUCUUAAAAAUUACAAUUUUAUACUGAAGUUAUUGAGACCAAACAUUCUCUAAAGUUCCAAAUCGGUUCAAGUCUCCAGUUCUACCGUUAUUUAAGGGGACUAGGGAGGGUUAAAAAUACAGAAAUUGGCUUAUGUUUAAUUGUUUAUAACAAGGCCGCGAAUAAAUAUAAAACUUUUAUUGUUAAGUGUAUUAAUUAUAACAUUAUAAAAUGAGAAAAUUCAUUAAAAGUCAUUCCCAGAUCAAUAAUAACGGCGUCCCAAUAUAAUAAAGAAAACUGUCGAAUCCACGGUUUUACCACGAUUCCAGUCGAACGGAUAAAGGUUUUGGCAAAUUUCAGGAAUAUUUCUUCUCCUUAGGCUUCUCUCUAUUGAUUAUACCUAAAAAAUUAAAAAUAAAAAUAAAAUUAACAAAAUAAAGUGGGGCUCGUGCUGAGAAACUGGGCUAUCUUUUGGAGGUAGUAGCUGCAAUAUUAAAUGCGUCUUUCUGAAUAUGUUCUUUGACAAGGUUACACACUUACACUCGGUUCACAUACAAGAUGUCCGGACUCGGGAUAGGAUUUCGAAAUGAAUGUUUGCGUUCAAUGCCCGCAUCGCCACUCGACGUCUACAUCGUAUCGAUACGCAUCGUAGGUGAAAAUAUUAAACGUCUCGUAUCGAUAUCAUCAAUAUCGGUACACGAAAAUUAAAGCGUUGCAACUUUUUAGUAAUUGACUGUACAUACAUAAAGAUAUUAAAUUGGUUUAACCGUUUUGCACAAUUUAAACUUAAAUUUAAACUUAAAUUUAGGCCUAGUUUUCCUCCGGCUCGUCGUUAUCGUGCGACCGGAGAUCAAAUACGGGUUAAAUUGAAUAUAUCAUAUAGACGAAAAUAAAUCUUUUCUAUCUCUUUGUCUCCAACUUUAUAUUGUAUUCUUGACAGGCACGAAUAAGGCCAGACUGCAAUAUAUCUGUACCACUUGCAAAAGCCGAUAAGAUGGAUAAAAGCUGUUUCGUGUUCAAUGUGGAUAACAUGAAUAUUCACACUGCAGUUUCGUGUAAACUUUAUUUUUAC